AUAGGCGUCGACCGGCGCACGGGUGAGUAACGCGUAUCCAACCUGCCCAUCACUUGGGGAUAACCUUGCGAAAGUAAGACUAAUACCCAAUGAUAUCUCUAGAAGACAUCUGAAAGGGAUUAAAGAUUUAUCGGUGAUGGAUGGGGAUGCGUCUGAUUAGCUUGUUGGCGGGGUAACGGCCCACCAAGGCGACGAUCAGUAGGGGUUCUGAGAGGAAGGUCCCCCACAUUGGAACUGAGACACGGUCCAAACUCCUACGGGAGGCAGCAGUGAGGAAUAUUGGUCAAUGGGCGAGAGCCUGAACCAGCCAAGUAGCGUGCAGGAUGACGGCCCUAUGGGUUGUAAACUGCUUUUAUAAGGGAAUAAAGUGAGUCUCGUGAGACUUUUUGCAUGUACCUUAUGAAUAAGGACCGGCUAAUUCCGUGCCAGCAGCCGCGGUAAUACGGAAGGUCCGGGCGUUAUCCGGAUUUAUUGGGUUUAAAGGGAGCGUAGGCCGGAGAUUAAGCGUGUUGUGAAAUGUAGAUGCUCAACAUCUGCACUGCAGCGCGAACUGGUUUCCUUGAGUACGCACAAAGUGGGCGGAAUUCGUGGUGUAGCGGUGAAAUGCUUAGAUAUCACGAAGAACUCCGAUUGCGAAGGCAGCUCACUGGAGCGCAACUGACGCUGAAGCUCGAAAGUGCGGGUAUCGAACAGGAUUAGAUACCCUGGUAGUCCGCACGGUAAACGAUGGAUGCCCGCUGUUGGUCUGAAUAGGUCAGCGGC
rnacentral:rRNA from 1 species